GUUAUUUUUUGGGCAAUUUGGUUGAAAGAAAUCAAUAUUUUUUUUGUGUAGAAACUUUGAAAAUUGGGUCAAGUUUGACCCCAAGGACAACAGCAG